rnacentral:rRNA from 1 species
AAAAGCUACUAAGAGCUCAUGGGGGAUGCCUUGGCGUCAAAUGCCGAAGAAGGACGUGGGACACUGCGAAAAGCCUGGGGGAGCUGUGAACGAGCGCCGAUCCCGGGAUGUCCGAAUGGAGAAAUCCGUCAGAGAGACCCUCUGACAUUCAUACAUGAAAAAGGUAGUGUAUGAAGGGGAACCUGGGGAACUGAAACAUCUAAGUACCCGGAGGAAAAGAAACAAUUCCCAAAGUAGUGGCGAGCGAAAUGGGAGGAGCCCAAACCGAGAAGGGUUGAACCUUCGAGGGGUUGUAGGAUCAGGGAGAACGUGAAAAAAGCCUAGAGAUAGUGGAAGGAUAUGGGAAAAUCCGGCGAAGAGGGUGAGACCCCCGUACACGAAAUUGAAAGGACACAACCUGACACCUGAGUAGUGCCGUGCACGCUAAUACGGCAUGAAGCUGGGGAGCCCACUCCCCAAGGCUAAACACAUUUGACGACCGAUAGAGGACAAGUACCGUGAGGGAAAGGUGAAAAGUACCCCGAACAGGGGAGUGAAAAAGAACCUGAAACCGUGAGCUUACAAGCAGUCGGAGGGCUAUGGUCGCAAGACAAUGCCUGACGGCGUGCCUCUUGGAGAAUGAGCCUGCGAGUUAAUUGACGUGGCGAGGUUAAGGGAGGAAAACCCGGAGCCGAAGCGAAAGCGAGUCUGAAUAGGGCGAGUGAGUCGCGUUGAUUAGACACGAAACUGGAUGAGCUAACCAUGGGCAGGAUGAAGCGAGAUUAAGCCCUCGUGGAGGUCCGAACCUUUCAAUGCUGCAAAAUUGAGGGAUGACCUGUGGUUAGGGGUGAUAUGCCAAACGAAUUCAGAGAUAGCUUGUUCUCCCCGAAAUAGUUUUAGGACUAGCGUUGCGGGAUAGUUUAUGGAGGUAGAGCACUGAUAGGGUAAGGGGGUCAAAGACUUACCGAACCCUGACAAACUCCGAAUGCCAUAAAGUGGACAGCAGCAGUCGGACUGCGGGUGAUGAGAUUCGUAGUCGAAAGGGAAACAGCCCAGAUCAUCGGCUAAGGUCCCCAAAUCGAUGCUAAGUGGGAAACGAUGUGGAGUUACACAGACAACCAGGAGGUUCGCUCAGAAGCAGCAAUCCUUUAAAGAGUGCGUAAUAGCUCACUGGUCAAGUGAUUCUGCGCGGAAAACGUAACGGGGCUAAGCAUCGUACCGAAGCCAUGGGCUUGAUAACAAAAGUUAUCGAGCGGUAGGGGAGCGUUCUGUCAGCGGGGAAGUCUCACCGGAAGGAGAGGUGGAGCGGACAGAAGUGAGAAUGCAGGCAUGAGUAGCGUAAAACAUGUGAGAACCAUGUUCGUUGAAAAUCCAAGGUUUCCGACGUCAAGUCAAUCUGCGUCGGGUUAGUCGGGACCUAAGGCGAGGCCGAGAGGCGUAGUCGAUGGACAACUGGUUAAUAAUCCAGUACCGAUUGUGUGGAGCGAAGGGGGGACACAACGAGGGAAUCCAGCCUGUUAGUGAAUUCAGGUGGAUGAACGUCAGGCGAUGAGAGAGGGAGAGAAAAGGCCCUUUUGAGCUGAGGGAAAUCAGGAGGCGCAAGCUAGAACUGAGAAGCACCUUGUUGGCAAGAAAAGCCUCUAAGUGAUGAAACACAAUUGCCCGUACCGUAAACCGACACUGGUGGAUGAGUAGAGAAUACUAAGACGAACGGGAGAACUAUCGUUAAGGAACUAGGCAAAAAAGCCCCGUAACUUAGGGAGAAGGGGUGCUCAAUGACUGAUAAAUAGGUUAAUUGAGUCGCAGUGAAAGGGCUCUAGUGACUGGUUAUCAAAACCACAGGUCUCUGCGAAGUUGAAAGACGAAGUAUAGGGGCUGACGCCUGCCCAGUGCCGGAAGGUUAAGGGGAGAGGUUAGAUCGCAAGGUCGAAGCUUUGAACUGAAGCCCCGGUGAACGGCGGCCGUAACUAUAACGGUCCUAAGGUAGCGAAAUUCCUUGUCGGGUAAGUUCCGACCCGCACGAACGGCGUAACAACUAGAGCACUGUCUCAACGAUAGACCCGGUGAAAUUGAAAUGGCUGUGAAGAUGCGGCCUACCCGCAGCAGGACAAAAAGACCCCGUGGAGCUUUACUGUAACUUGGCAUUGAGUUUAGAUAUGAUUUGUGUAGGAUAGGUGGGAGACUAGGAGACCAGGGCGCCAGCCUUGGUGGAGUCGGCAAGUGAAAUACCACCCUGGUGAUAUUUGGGCUCUAACCUUGCGUCAUAAACUGGCCAAGGGACCGUGUCAGGUGGGCAGUUUGACUGGGGCGGUCGCCUCCAAAAAGGUAACGGAGGCGCCCAAAGGUUCCCUCAGACAGAAUGGAAACCUGUCGGAGAGUGUAAAGGCAGAAGGGAGCUUAACUGCAAGACCAACGCGUCGAGCAGAUACGAAAGUAGGGCUUAGUGAUCCCACGAUACAGAGUGGAAUGGUCGUGGCUUACCGGAUAAAAGCUACCCCGGGGAUAACAGGCUGGUGAAGUCCAAGAGUUCACAUCGACGACUUCGCUCGGCACCUCGAUGUCGGCUCAUCGCAUCCUGGGGCUGUACAAGGUCCCAAGGGUCCGGCUGUUCGCCGGUUAAAGCGGUACGCGAGCUGGGUUCAGACCGUCGUGAGACAGGUCGGUCUCUAUCCGCUGUGGGCGAAAGAGAAUUGAGAAGGGCUGCCCCUAGUACGAGAGGACCGGGGUGGACAAACCUCUGGUGUGUCAGUUGUAAUGUCGAUUGCAUAGCUGAGUAGCCACGUUUGGCAGAGAUAACCGCUGAAAGCAUCUAAGUGGGAAACUUGCUUCAAGAUAAGUUCUCUAAUCAGAAAUGAAUAAGAUCGCACGGAGACUACGUGCUAGAUAGGCUGGAGGUGAAAGUGCAGCGAUGCAUUGAGCAAACCAGUACUAAUGAUCGAAGGCUUAGGACG